CACGUAGGGGGCAAGCGUUGUCCGGAUUUAUUGGGCGUAAAGAGCUCGUAGGCGGUUCGGUAAGUCGGGUGUGAAACCUCCAGGCUCAACCUGGAGACGCCACCCGAUACUGCUGUGACUCGAGUCCGGUAGGGGAGCGUGGAAUUCCUGGUGUAGCGGUGAAAUGCGUAGAUAUGCGGAGGAACACCGAUGGCGAAGGCAAUCCCCUGGGCCUGCUGACGCGCUCAUGCACGAAAGCGUGGGGAGCAAACAGG
rnacentral:rRNA from 1 species